CAGUAGCCGCGGUAAUACGUAGGUGGCAAGCGUUGUCCGGAAUUAUUGGGCGUAAAGGGCUCGCAGGCGGUUUCUUAAGUCUGAUGUGAAAGCCCCCGGCUCAACCGGGGAGGGUCAUUGGAAACUGGGAAACUUGAGUGCAGAAGAGGAGAGUGGAGUUCCACGUGUAGCGGUGAAAUGCGUAGAGAUGUGGAGGAACACCAGUGGCGAAGGCGACUCUCUGGUCUGUAACUGACGCUGAGGAGCGAAAGCGUGGGGAGCGAACAGGAUUAGAUACCCCUGUAGUCCCUGUCUCUUAUAC
rnacentral:rRNA from 1 species